GAUGAACGCUGGCGGCGUGCCUAAUACAUGCAAGUCGAGCGAACGGACGAGAAGCUUGCUUUUCUGAUGUUAGCGGCGGACGGGUGAGUAACACGUGGAUAACCUACCUAUAAGACUGGGAUAACUUCGGGAAACCGGAGCUAAUACCGGAUAAUAUUUUGAACCGCAUGGUUCAAAAGUGAAAGACGGUCUUGCUGUCACUUAUAGAUGGAUCCGCGCUGCAUUAGCUAGUUGGUAAGGUAACGGCUUACCAAGGCAACGAUGCAUAGCCGACCUGAGAGGGUGAUCGGCCACACUGGAACUGAGACACGGUCCAUACUCCUACGGGAGGCAGCAGUAGGGAAUCUUCCGCAAUGGGCGAAAGCCUGACGGAGCAACGCCGCGUGAGUGAUGAAGGUCUUCGGAUCGUAAAACUCUGUUAUUAGGGAAGAACAUAUGUGUAAGUAACUGUGCACAUCUUGACGGUACCUAAUCAGAAAGCCACGGCUAACUACGUG
rnacentral:rRNA from 1 species